rnacentral:piRNA from 1 species
UGCGUGGCAAAAGCCAAUUAAAGAGGGAAU